rnacentral:rRNA from 2 species
UUUAGAGUUUGAUCCUGGCUCAGAUUGAACGCUGGCGGCAGGCCUAACACAUGCAAGUCGAGCGGUAACAUUUCUAGCUUGCUAGAAGAUGACGAGCGGCGGACGGGUGAGUAAUGCUUGGGAAUAUGCCUUAGGGUGGGGGACAACAGUUGGAAACGACUGCUAAUACCGCAUAACGUCUACGGACCAAAGGGGGCUUCGGCUCUCGCCCUUAGAUUAGCCCAAGUGGGAUUAGCUAGUUGGUGAGGUAAUGGCUCACCAAGGCGACGAUCCCUAGCUGGUUUGAGAGGAUGAUCAGCCACACUGGAACUGAGACACGGUCCAGACUCCUACGGGAGGCAGCAGUGGGGAAUAUUGCACAAUGGGCGCAAGCCUGAUGCAGCCAUGCCGCGUGUGUGAAGAAGGCCUUAGGGUUGUAAAGCACUUUCAGUAAGGAGGAAAGGUUAGUAGUUAAUACCCUGCUAGCUG